CACCUAUGUACCUCUAAACGGCUUCCAAGCCACUUCUAAAUUUACCCCAGCGGUAAUAAAUUAGAAGUAUAACCUCCGGUAUAUCCUCAUACGUCGCAUCUCUUUGCCGUGUGAUUCAAGCCUCCAGUGCAGCCAGCGCGACAUUAUUUGUGCUGUACGCGUUAUUUCAUUUGAGGUUAGAUUGGGAAUAUGCGUUCACUGUCAAGUUUUGUACCGCUGAAUUGGAAUUUCUGAGCAUAAUUGAUCAAAUCGAUUCUCAAGCUUUGGCAUUCAUUAAGUAAGGUUUCGUUUUCUAAUUUCAGUUUCCUCAACUGCAUCCACUGCAGUUCCGGUUUCUACUUCUCUGGAUCCGAAGCUUAUCCUUUGGAGUUUCAAUAAAAUUGUUAGCAGU